AGAGUUUGAUCAUGGCUCAGGAUGAACGCUAGCUACAGGCUUAACACAUGCAAGUCGAGGGGAAACGAUAUUGGAAGCUUGCUUCCGAUAGGCGUCGACCGGCGCACGGGUGAGUAACGCGUAUCCAACCUGCCCACCACUUGGGGAUAACCUUGCGAAAGUAAGACUAAUACCCAAUGAUAUCUCUAGAAGACAUCUGAAAGAGAUUAAAGAUUUAUCGGUGAUGGAUGGGGAUGCGUCCGAUUAGCUUGUUGGCGGGGUAACGGCCCACCAAGGCAACGAUCAGUAGGGGUUCUGAGAGGAAGGUCCCCCACAUUGGAACUGAGACACGGUCCAAACUCCUACGGGAGGCAACA
rnacentral:rRNA from 1 species